rnacentral:rRNA from 1 species
AUGAACGCUAGCUACAGGCUUAACACAUGCAAGUCGAGGGGCAGCAUGAACUUAGCUUGCUAAGUUUGAUGGCGACCGGCGCACGGGUGAGUAACACGUAUCCAACCUGCCGAUGACUCGGGGAUAGCCUUUCGAAAGAAAGAUUAAUACCCGAUGGCAUAGUUCUUCCGCAUGGUAGAACUAUUAAAGAAUUUCGGUCAUCGAUGGGGAUGCGUUCCAUUAGGUUGUUGGCGGGGUAACGGCCCACCAAGCCUUCGAUGGAUAGGGGUUCUGAGAGGAAGGUCCCCCACAUUGGAACUGAGACACGGUCCAAACUCCUACGGGAGGCAGCAGUGAGGAAUAUUGGUCAAUGGACGAGAGUCUGAACCAGCCAAGUAGCGUGAAGGAUGACUGCCCUAUGGGUUGUAAACUUCUUUUAUACGGGAAUAAAGUGAGGCACGUGUGCCUUUUUGUAUGUACCGUAUGAAUAAGGAUCGGCUAACUCCGUGCCAGCAGCCGCGGUAAUACGGAGGAUCCGAGCGUUAUCCGGAUUUAUUGGGUUUAAAGGGAGCGUAGGCGGACGCUUAAGUCAGUUGUGAAAGUUUGCGGCUCAACCGUAAAAUUGCAGUUGAUACUGGGUGUCUUGAGUACAGUAGAGGCAGGCGGAAUUCGUGGUGUAGCGGUGAAAUGCUUAGAUAUCACGAAGAACUCCGAUUGCGAAGGCAGCUUGCUGGACUGUAACUGACGCUGAUGCUCGAAAGUGUGGGUAUCAAACAGGAUUAGAUACCCUGGUAGUCCACACAGUAAACGAUGAAUACUCGCUGUUUGCGAUAUACAGUAAGCGGCCAAGCGAAAGCGUUAAGUAUUCCACCUGGGGAGUACGACCGCAAGGUUGAAACUCAAAGGAAUUGACGGGGGCCCGCACAAGCAGUGGAUUAUGUGGUUUAAUUCGAAGCAACGCGAAGAACCUUACCAGGGCUUGACAUCCAACUAACGAAGCAGAGAUGCAUUAGGUGCCCUUCGGGGAAAGUUGAGACAGGUGGUGCAUGGUUGUCGUCAGCUCGUGCCGUGAGGUGUCGGCUUAAGUGCCAUAACGAGCGCAACCCUUAUCGAUAGUUACCAUCAGGUUAUGCUGGGGACUCUGUCGAGACUGCCGUCGUAAGAUGUGAGGAAGGUGGGGAUGACGUCAAAUCAGCACGGCCCUUACGUCCGGGGCUACACACGUGUUACAAUGGGGGGUACAGAAGGCAGCUACACGGCGACGUGAUGCUAAUCCCGAAAGCCUCUCUCAGUUCGGAUUGGAGUCUGCAACCCGACUCCAUGAAGCUGGAUUCGCUAGUAAUCGCGCAUCAGCCACGGCGCGGUGAAUACGUUCCCGGGCCUUGUACACACCGCCCGUCAAGCCAUGAAAGCCGGGGGUACCUGAAGUGCGUAACCGCAAGGAGCGCCCUAGGGUAAAACUGGUGAUUGGGGCU